CGCGAAGAACCUUACCUGGUCUUGACAUCCACAGAACAUUCCGGAGAUGGGAUGGUGCCUUCGGGAACUGUGAGACAGGUGCCGCAUGGCUGUCGUCAGCUCGUGUUGUGAAAUGUUGGGUUAAGUCCCGCAACGAGCGCAACCCUUAUCCUUUGUUGCCAGCGGUCCGGCCGGGAACUCAAAGGAGACUGCCAGUGAUAAACUGGAGGAAGGUGGGGAUGACGUCAAGUCAUCAUGGCCCUUACGACCAGGGCUACACACGUGCUACAAUGGCGCAUACAAAGAGAAGCGACCUCGCGAGAGCAAGCGGACCUCAUAAAGUGCGUCGUAGUCCGGAUUGGAGUCUGCAACUCGACUCCAUGAAGUCGGAAUCGCUAGUAAUCGUGGAUCAGAAUGCCACGGUGAAUACGUUCCCGGGUCUUGUACACACC
rnacentral:rRNA from 1 species